GAUGACGGUCCUAUGGAUUGUAAACUGCUUUUGUACAGGAAGAAACACUCCCUCGUGAGGGAGCUUGACGGUACUGUAAGAAUAAGGAUCGGCUAACUCCGUGCCAGCAGCCGCGGUAAUACGGAGGAUCCAAGCGUUAUCCGGAAUCAUUGGGUUUAAAGGGUCCGUAGGCGGCUUAAUAAGUCAGUGGUGAAAGCCCUACGCUUAACGUAGGAACGGCCAUUGAUACUGUUAGGCUUGAAUUAUUAGGAAGUAACUAGAAUAUGUAGUGUAGCGGUGAAAUGCUUAGAGAUUACAUGGAAUACCAAUUGCGAAGGCAGGUUACUACUAAUGGAUUGACGCUGAUGGACGAAAGCGUGGGUAGCGAACAGGAUUAGAUACCCUGGUAGUCCACGCCGUAAACGAUGGAUACUAGCUGUUGGAAGCAAUUUCAGUGGCUAAGCGAAAGUGAUAAGUAUCCCACCUGGGGAGUACGUUCGCAAGAAUGAAACUCAAAUGAAUUGACGGG
rnacentral:rRNA from 1 species